rnacentral:pre_miRNA from 12 species
GACCAAAAAAGGAUGCCGCUCAAUUACCCCGACAUAGUCGUACGGUGAAUGUUGUGUAUUGGAAAGCAAUGUUAACUGUAAGACUGUGUCUCGGUGGUUGCCAGCUAGCCUACCAUCUCA